rnacentral:tRNA from 1 species
GUGGGUAUAGCUCAGUGGUAGAGCACAUACUGAGCAUGCAUGAGGUCCUGGGUUAAAACCCCUGUACCUCCA